CCUUUGAGCACUUACCUUGGCUGGCUCCCCGAAAGGGGCAGAGGCCUUUGGAGUACCCUGCCGGUCGUCGUUGGGGUUGGAAGAAGAAGCUGACAGUGCGUCCACCGCCCGAUACCGUGUGGGAUCUCAUUCGGGACGGGAACCCUGAGCAUGUGGUUUGGACCCCAUGGCUCUCUUUUAGGGGUACUUAUGCUUCGGUCAGGGAUAGUUAUGCCCUGAGCCAGAUGCGGGUCUUGUUCGUUGGCCGCCGGGACCCUGUCUGGUACCUAGGAGAGCGGGUACGUAUGCAGAAGGUCGGGGCUUUUUCGGUGCCUAGGCCUCUGCCUGCGACCAUGCUGUCUACUCGUUCGAUAGGCGAGUCGUGGAGGGUCCACUCGAGGACUGGCGUGCCGGCGACGGAGUUGGUGAUAGAGGGAGCUAGCUAUUAUCAGUUUAUCCAGGAUUCUCUUCGUCUCCCGGAGCCUGGCGCUGAGUGUCCUGACCCUUCGUUGGGGGGGGGGGGGAUGGGUGCUUCCCGAUGCUCGGAUCUCGUAUACCGGAGAGAGUGGAUCCGAGAUUGUGGAGACUUUCC